GAUGAACGCUGGCGGCGUGCCUAAUACAUGCAAGUCGAGCGAACGGACGAGAAGCUUGCUUCUCUGAUGUUAGCGGCGGACGGGUGAGUAACACGUGGAUAACCUACCUAUAAGACUGGGAUAACUUCGGGAAACCGGAGCUAAUACCGGAUAAUAUUUUGAACCGCAUGGUUCAAAAGUGAAAGACGGUCUUGCUGUCACUUAUAGAUGGAUCCGCGCUGCAUUAGCUAGUUGGUAAGGUAACGGCUUACCAAGGCAACGAUGCAUAGCCGACCUGAGAGGGUGAUCGGCCACACUGGAACUGAGACCCGGCCCAGACCCCUACGGGAGGCAGCAGGAGGGAAUUUUCCGCAAUGGGCGAAAGCCUGACGGAGCAACGCCGCGUGGGUGAUGAAGGUCUUCGGAUCGUAAAACUCUUUUAUUAGGGAAGAACAUAUGUGAAAGUAACUGUGCCCAUUUUGACGGUACCUAAUCAAAAAGCCCCGGCUAACUACGU
rnacentral:rRNA from 1 species